AAUGCGUUUUCAAAAUAUUUCAACAAUGCUGAGUUGAUGUUUGUUAGUCUCAUGAGUGAACUUCUUCCAUCUUUCUUGUUCGAAUUUAUUCUAUCUGCCUUUUCCCUUGCUCUUCCCCCAUCUUCCCCCAUCUUCCCCCUUUUUCAAUGUUUUGAUUUUCAUCGAUACGCGACAAGAGAAAGAUAUUUUAUCUGAGAACGGACACAACAUCUUUCUCGUUUGUGGCUAUUCUGAUUUUUUAUUUGUGAUCAUAUUUUUCUUAAUUGUGUAUGUUUUACAACUGAGGCGUGGAUCAACUUCAGGCGGGCUCCGUUUCUUUUCUAUUGAGUUCCAGAGCAUGCAAUUCCCCAUCAGAUACCCAAAAGCUCCAUCUCUCAAAAGAUACCUGUCUGGAAAAUCCAUGUCCUAGCUCUGACUAUUUCAUCAGACUGGCGAGUUUACCUAGUCCCUUCUGAUCGACUAGACCGGAUUCCCAGUACAUUUCGCGGAUUCCUUUAACUUUUUUAUUUAUAUCCUGGCUUCUGCCGCAACGUGCCCGCGUAGGCGUCUACUAUGCUAUGGCUCUUUCCAGACAUUUCUGUUAUCCCUAAGU
rnacentral:sRNA from 1 species